UGGGGAAUCUUGGACAAUGGGGGCAACCCUGAUCCAGCCAUGCCGCGUGAGUGAUGAAGGCCUUAGGGUCGUAAAGCUCUUUCGCCUGUGAAGAUAAUGACGGUAGCAGGUAAAGAAACCCCGGCUAACUCCGUGCCAGCAGCCGCGGUAAUACGGAGGGGGUUAGCGUUGUUCGGAAUUACUGGGCGUAAAGCGCACGUAGGCGGACCAGAAAGUUGGGGGUGAAAUCCCGGGGGCUCAACCCCGGAACUGCCUCCAAAACUAUUGGUCUAGAGUUCGAGAGAGGUGAGUGGAAUUCCAAGUGUAGAGGUGAAAUUCGUAGAUAUUUGGAGGAACACCAGUGGCGAAGGCGGCUCACUGGCUCGAUACUGACGCUGAGGUGCGAAAGUGUGGGGAGCAAACAGGAUUAGAU
rnacentral:rRNA from 1 species